rnacentral:rRNA from 1 species
UACGUAGGUGGCAAGCGUUGUCCGGAAUUAUUGGGCGUAAAGCGCGCGCAGGUGGUUUAAUAAGUCUGAUGUGAAAGCCCACGGCUCAACCGUGGAGGGUCAUUGGAAACUGUUAAACUUGAGUGCAGGAGAGAAAAGUGGAAUUCCUAGUGUAGCGGUGAAAUGCGUAGAGAUUAGGAGGAACACCAGUGGCGAAGGCGGCUUUUUGGCCUGUAACUGACACUGAGGCGCGAAAGCGUGGGGAGCAAACAGGAUUAGAUACCCCGGUAGUCC